UACGUAGGGGCUAGCGUUGUCCGGAAUCAUUGGGCGUAAAGCGCGCGUAGGCGGCCCGGUAAGUCCGCUGUGAAAGUCAAAGGCUCAACCUUUGAAUGUCAGCGGAUACUGCCGGGCUAGAGUCCGGAAGAGGCGAGUGGAACUCCUGGUGUAGCGGUGGAAUGCGCAGAUAUCAGGAAGAACACCAACGGCGAAGGCAGCUCGCUGGGACGGAACUGACGCUAAGGCGCGAAAAGCGUGGGGAGCGAACAGG
rnacentral:rRNA from 1 species